rnacentral:lncRNA from 1 species
GCGCUUUGUUACCUCUCGAAGCAGCACAUUGCCGCUCCACGGCAAUCCGCGUACCGCCAGGACACCGGCUCUCAUUAACGCACGCACGGAAGCUACCGCUGGUCCUGAGCACAUUCACCAGAGUCUUGAGAGUCUGCUGUGCCACAGCUGGAUGCUCAUCCAUCUGAGAACCAGGCUUUUCUCUGCCUUUCCACAGCCUGCAAUGCAGUCAGGAAGCAAAGGAUACUAAGGGAUGUUAGCAGCUGCCAAACUGCCAGAGUUACCACAAGGCCUGACGACACGCUGCUGCUGCACCAGGCAGGACGGGACGGCGGGCUUGUCUGCACUGCUGGAAAGCAAGCAGCCAGGAACGGGCAUGCACAAGCAACCUGCAGAGCUCGGUGACCACAUUUCUUUGGUGUCUGCUGCCCAGCUGGAAAAGAGGUGUGCCUCUCAGAGUGUGCAGCCCUGAGGACCACAGAGGGAGGUGGGAGCAGCACCGUGGAAGGCAGAUGGAACUUGACGAUGUUGGCAAUACGUCUCCAUGCAAAAAAACAAAGGUGUGUUUAUAAAGGCAUGUGCCAGGUUAAAGAGACAAAUGCUGUAUCAUACAGAGGUUUACAUUAAAGAGAGGAAUUACUUCACUAUGGGUAUAUGUGAAGGCCCACACUCCAUCUUGCAAACCUUGCAAGGGUUUGUCCAGGCGGAAAGAGCCCUGCAGAUGCCCCAGGCUUGGCCAGGAGCGCCCAGCUUUGCCAGCAACAGCCUGGCAUGCUGCUGCUGGCAGGGCCUCAUCUGCCCGGUGAGCUGCACGGGCAGCAGCAGUGCAGUAGAUAUUGGAGAUACUGCUCUGAGGGAAGCACCUGCAAGGCCACCACUGCUCCAUAUGGGUCUGCUGGGGGCAGGAGUAGCAGCAGACAAGAGGGCAUGCAACAUGGGCCCCAGCUGCAGUGUUUGAAGGCCUGGAAACAGGAAUGCAUCCAUUCUCCUCCAGUUUAAUACAAAACUCCUGAUCCUCAAGAAUACCAGCUGUGAGUUGACGUUAAUGUCAGUGAAUAGCAAAUAGUCCCCUGACACCAAUCUGGAUCACGUUUCAUUGCAGAAGGAUUGUCUUCAAAUAGACUGCCACUGGUUCUAUGUUUAGGACCUAUUUUCCAUGCUCGCUGAUAGUGUCCUGCUUCUUUCCAAAGCUACAUAACCUCAGUGUCCUGGCUAGCUUUGGGCCCAGCCCCUUAAGUCACACUCCCUUGAAUAAGCCUUAUCCAUGAAUACAGUGAGUCUCAUGUCAUGACAAAAAGCUUUAAUAAAACGAUGUUCUGGGAGCACAAUGAAAAGCCAAUCUAAUCAGUACCCAGCUAAGGCAGGGAUGAAUGCACGAUAGGCAGCUUUUUUACAUUUAUCACCAGGCCCUAACAGCCCCAAAAUAACCACACAUGUUGAGUAACCAACAAGAAGAAGCCAAUUUCUGAAGACCUACCUAGAUAACAUAGUUCUUCUUUUCAGUACAUAAAUCCUGAAUAGGACUCUGGAAUCAUGAAAAUAAUUAGGGUGAUGAUAACAAUAAAUUUAAAAUAUUUUCCAGACAAGAAGCUGAGAAAGUCUCUAGGGAGGUCUUUUGGUGGACUUCAUAAAUCUUAACACCGUUUUUAAUUAAGUAUUAGUUAUUUCAUAAUCCACAUUGUUUACUUAGCAACUGCUUUGGUAUUGAGUAUGCUAUCCUGGCAACAUACAUUUUUGCCAUAGGCCAGGAUCACAAAACACUAUUUGAAUCAUCUGUCAUCCCCAGUCUGCCUACGUUGUUAUUCUAUAGCUGCAGAUCGCAAGAUGAUGAACAAUGCUGGAUAUUCAUCAACCUUAUUUCAAACAUGGAGUAACUAUGAUGUAAUGAGAUUAAGAAAUCUGCUUGAUGCCAUUAAAUGAAUUAGCAGCCAUACAAAGAUUAGAAAACAUUUCCCUAUUCCUGGCUCUGCUCGUAAUCCACUGGACACGAACACCCGAACCACUUCUUACUGCCAUUCGCAGUUUCAGCAAAGGGGUGCACUGAAGGAGGCAUUAAUUCACUCCUCAGGGCUUUUUAAGAGACUUUUAAGUGACCGAAAGAGGACUUCAGAUGCUUCAAAGAAGAGAGAACGAUGGCACUAUGGUGUCACUUCGGGGACUGAAAUUCAGUCUGCAAAAGCUCAUACAAAUUCAAAAGAAGGAGAAUCGUGUUUAUGCAGAGCUGAGGCUCUGUGCAUAUAGAAGUGUGGGUUUUGGUAGACGUUGUGAGCUUCAGGAGGCCGUUGAAGGGAAUAAAGCACAAAUAUACAGCCAUGAUAUUUUACGAUGUUUCCUUUCUUAGGCCUUUUUGGGGGUUAUCAAAUCUUUGGUGGAUAUUUGGCACAUGGUUAAGUAAACUCAGGAGGAAAACCUAAAGGUAAGAAAUUGAAGCAACUGAUUAUGCAAAUUCUAAACUUUUCACAGUUAUCCACUGAGGACUGCUUAGGUCCUUUGUGUUACCAGAAGUCCUGCAGUCAGGACGUACACAGCCUCUUUAUGACUUCCACGUGAUAGUGCAGUUGUUCCAGAUGGAUAUCAAUUCAAUUAAGAGCAAAGAGUGAUUUGAGCUAUAUUCAGUGAAUUUGGAAGUACCGUUGACAUCAAAUUGCUUUGCCUCUGGUGGGUUUUUUUAAGCACCCACACAAGUCACUAUGUUUAAUUUUUAAAAAACCCUUAUAAAUACAACAUAUGAAGGAAAACACUGCUAGAUUAUUCUCUUCUUCUUGGUUUAGAACCUUUGACAGUAAGCUUACAAUUCUAACACAUCACUGACGUCCAUGCCUUCCAAGACAUUCUGGAACUUUCUCUUUGCAACACAGCAUGGAGGAGGCUGAGGAUAAGUGGUUGCAAGUUUACACAUUAUAAGAGAUGUGAUGUGAGCUUGUAAUUCAGGUUCUGUGUCAUCUGUGGGAAAAACCAUAGAAUGCUCAUCUCUACUCCUUGCACACACCCAGAUGUGGUAUCAGAUUCUGAUCUCUUUAAUCAUUAAAACUUUUCAUUAUUAUUUGAAUCAGCGUGUUGUCUGGAGAUUCAUUGCAGAACAGAACGUUACUAUGCUGUGUGUUCCCAUCUCCUUCUGCCCUGCACUGGUAAAUGCCUGAAAGACUUCAGUUAUUACGUGAUAUUCCAUGUAAACCUGACUUCAAAAGUAAAUGAAGGAUUGUCUUGCAGUCACGCUCCUACCACCAGCACUCUGUUAGAAAGCUUUUUCUUUUACAGCUGAGUGGGCAACUGCUGCAAGUGGAGCUCCUGAGGGCUGGGUUGGGGGCAGUGGGGGCAGCAAGGGUGUGGUUUUUCAUUCUUGUAUUUCUGCAAGAUGAUUCUGAAAGGUAUUGUCUAACAAUUUACAGAUCACAAGCAGGGUUACAGGGUUCCUACCUACGUGAAACUACGUGAUUCAUGGAAAGAUGCAAUACACCUUACACGUUCUACAGGAUGAAGUCAUUAGAAC